rnacentral:rRNA from 1 species
UACGGAGGGUGCAAGCGUUAAUCGGAAUUACUGGGCGUAAAGCGUGGCAGGCGGUUUGUUAAGUCCGUUGUGAAAGCCCCGAGCUCAACUUGGGAAUUGCAGUGGAUACUGGCAGGCUGGAGUACGGUAGAGGAAGGUGGAAUUCCCGGUGUAGCAGUGAAAUGCGUAGAGAUCGGGAGGAACACCAGUGGCGAAGGCGGCCUUCUGGACCAGUACUGACGCUCAUGCACGAAAGCGUGGGGAGCAAACAGG